GUGGAGAAUAAAUAUCUGGUGCUAUGAUUCAACUGAAAAAGCUGGGUAUUCUGAGAUAUUUCAGUGUAAAAGAUCAUGUAAGUGAUUGAAAUGAUAAUUUAUGUUUUGAUAAUACAGCUUGUAGAUAAAAGAUUCAAAAUUUGGUAAGUAGUGCAAACUCUUCACCUCAGUUCUGUUGAACUUCUGUAGUUUAAGGUGAUGACAUGUGACAGGUGAUGAGGAACUAAGCAACAUUAGAAAGACUUUUUGAAUGGGAACAGUCUUUUUUGCUUUUCAGUUAUCAGGCUACCUUGACGUGUUAUAAAUAGCAAGAAUAGAUUGCUAGAUACACUCAGUAGGAAAGAGCGGAGGCAGGACAGGGAAGUAAUAACUUAUAUGAGAUACCAAUCAUAUUUCCAUCAGCAGAAAAUUACUCAUGAUUCAUAAAAGCCUUCUUUAUACUAGAAUACAUUGUUUAGGAUUUUGUUUAAAAAUUAAACAGAACAUCUGACUUCUCAGCAGCUGCAACUUCCUGGCCUGAUUUCCAACGGACAUUCCAUAAAUAAAACAUAUAUUUCAAAGCAUGAAUUCUCUUUAGAAGAACGUAUAGGCAACUUCAGAAGAAUAUUGUUUUUCAGCACAUCAGAGUGAGGCACCUUGCAAAAACAAAUGAGCAAAAGAAAAGAAUCCCUGCAAAAUCCAAAGCAGAAUUUAUGUCAAGAUUGCUGUUCUGAACAGCAGCGUAUGGCAGCACAGUGAAAUUUCAUUCAAUCCACUGUCAGUUAGUAAUCCUUCAAAUAAAGGUAUGCAUUUCACAGUAAACCCUUCUGCAUGGCUUUCAAAGCCUUGCAUGUUAGCAAGAAAAUAUACAGUGCACAACUCAAUAUUAUCCAUGGGAAAAAAAAAAAAAAAAAAAAAAAGAAUGCUAGAAGAUAAUCCCUCCAUCACUUUCUUGGCACACGGGGCUAUUUGCACAUACUUUGACCAAUCUCUUCUCUAUUGCCUCUUCUGAAAUGCCAUACAACUCCAUAUUGCAGAGUGUAUCACAGGUGGCCAUAGG
rnacentral:lncRNA from 1 species